rnacentral:rRNA from 1 species
UACUCGCGGUCCAAGUCGCAGCCAUCAUUAUUGGGUCUAAAACAUCCGUAGCUUGCUUAAUAAGUUUCUUGUGAAAUUCCAUGUCUCAAAUAUGGAGCGGGCAAGAAGUACUGUUAAGCUAGAGACUGGAAGACGUAAGAAGUACGUUUGGAGUAGCGGUAAAAUGUGUUAAUCCCAGACGGACUAACAACAGCGAAGGCAUCUUACGAGGACAGUUCUGACAGUAAGGGAUGAAGGCUAGGGGCGCAAAAGGGAUUAGAUACCCGGGUAGUCCCU